ACGGAAGGCAGCAGUGGGGAAUAUUGGGCAAUGGGCGAAAGCCUGACCCAGCAACGCCGCGUGAGGGAAGAAGGUUUUCGGAUUGUAAACCUCUGUCCUUGGUGAAGAAGAAAGUGACGGUAACCGGGAUAGGAAGCCACGGCUAACUACGUGCCAGCAGCCGCGGUAAUACGUAGGUGGCGAGCGUUGUCCGGAUUUACUGGGUGUAAAGGGAGCGCAGGCGGGACAGCAAGUUGGAUGUGAAAUACCGAGGCUUAACCUCGGAGCUGCAUCCAAAACUGCCGUUCUUGAGUGAAGUAGAGGUAGGCGGAAUUCCGAGUGUAGCGGUGAAAUGCGUAGAUAUUCGGAGGAACACCGGUGGCGAAGGCGGCCUACUGGGCUUUAACUGACGCUGAGGCUCGAAAGUGUGGGGAGCAAACAGGAUUAGAUACCCUGGUA
rnacentral:rRNA from 1 species